rnacentral:rRNA from 1 species
AUACGGAGGGUGCAAGCGUUAAUCGGAAUUACUGGGCGUAAAGCGCGCGUAGGCGGCUAAGUAAGUCGGAUGUGAAAGCCCUGGGCUCAACCUGGGAAUGGCGUUCGAUACUGCCUGACUAGAGUAUGGUAGAGGGAAGUGGAAUUUCCGGUGUAGCGGUGAAAUGCGUAGAUAUCGGAAGGAACACCAGUGGCGAAGGCGACUUCCUGGGCCAAUACUGACGCUGAGGUGCGAAAGCGUGGGGAGCAAACAGGAUUAGAAACCCCGGUAGUCC